rnacentral:rRNA from 1 species
AUACGGAGGGUGCAAGCGUUACUCGGAAUCACUGGGCGUAAAGCGCGCGCAGGCGGUCUUUUAAGUUGGAUGUGAAAGCCUACGGCUCAACCGUAGAACUGCAUCCAAAACUAUUAGACUAGAGUGUGGGAGAGGAAGAUGGAAUUAGUUGUGUAGGGGUAAAAUCCGUAGAGAUAACUAGGAAUACCAAAAGCGAAGGCGAUCUUCUGGAACAGUACUGACGCUGAGGCGCGAAAGCGUGGGGAGCAAACAGGAUUAGAAACCCUAGUAGUCC